rnacentral:snRNA from 1 species
AUUUCUGGCUCCUUUGCAUUUAACCGAGCAAAUCUUUCGCCUUUUACUAAAGAUUUCCGCACGAAGGUGUAUUUUAUGAGUAUCAAAUAAUUUUUGAAACCCCCCCUCGAAAGAGCGGGGU